CCUUGACAAGAAUCAUUGGAAAUCUUGGUUCUUGGAGACCUAGCCGUUCCUUCAAUUUUUUCCCUCAUAGUUACGUGUUACGCAGAUCUAUUCCACAUGGGACGCAGAUCUAUUCCACAUGGUUGCUGCUACUGGGAUUCUGCUUCCAGAGAUCGUUAGAUCGCAUCAUGAUCUGCCUUUCUAUGCCAGAUUUCGUUUCCGAUGUUGAGGAGAUCUGAUCGGUCGUAUCUACGGCUUAAUCUCCCGUCCGCAUAAACCAAAGCCUCUUGCUUUGGAAAAGGGUUGGUCGAACGUGUUGUAUCAGAAACCAACAUCUGACGGUGGAGAUUUGUUGGCUGAUUGAUUUGAGGCGGCUGGAGGUUAUUUUCUCUGAUAUAUGGUGGAUGAUGAAUCAAGGCGACACGUGAAUAGCGAUGUGGGAUAACGUGUUUUGUAAGUUGAAUGGAUGUGUAAGAUAUCGGGGCAAAGAGGCCUUGUUUGCUGAGGGCUGAGUCCUGAUCUAUCUUUGUCCAUCCCGACCUUUGCCAUGACAGGUGCGCUUGCAUGGCAGGUCACCCAAACUUAAUAAAAUUUAUAUCUUUUUGUGUUUCGAGGGGAGAUCGCACGGGAAUUGCCCGGGUUCUCCCCUCUGGUGUGCGUUGUCCUUGUUUUUCUCUUUUCCUUUUCCCAAUAUUUAUCUGCACCAUACGGGUUUGAUUCACGAUCCAUGUCAUCAUCGGAAAAGCUCAUGCUCACCAAAGGCAUUGAUCUACUACUUUCAAAUGGGGGAGCCCAAGGUAUAUUUUACAUCAUUUUUGCUGGAAUUCGCCUUUUAGUUUAAUUGCACGAAUUCUCGAUGGAACAGUCAGUUUAUCCAAAUUCGCUUUCAACAUGCACUGUUUAUGUUAGUAGCAAUAUUUUAUACCCUGAACUAAUAUGCAUUAGAACUUAAGGAAAAGAAGGCUUGUAAGCUAUAUUCCUUCCAUUUGCUACUGAUAGCUCAUAUGUUUUGUAAGCUAUAUUCCUCACAUUUGCUACUGAUAGCUCAUGUGAACUAAUAUGCAUUAGAAUUUAAGGAAAAGAAGGCUUGUAAGCUAUAUUCCUCACAUUUGCUACUGAUAGCUCCAAUGAAUCUAACCCAUUAACAUGGAUUAGUUCUUAAAGUUGGUCAUGCUGCAUAUAUAUCUCCCUUUUUGAUAAAUAAUAGCAAUUUUCUAGCUUUGUUUUGUAAAUAUAGGCAUGUUUUAUGGGUUUUUGUCAUCUUUCAUCUAAAAAGGAUUGUAGGAUCACCUACUAACAUAAAGUGAUGGCUUGUUUUUGAUAAUUUCUAACUAAGAAGUGUCAUGCUUUAGAUUUGUCACCAUCUUUGGUCUGCAAAAUUGCUAAUGGUAUUUCCCGAUUUUUGCCAAAAAUGCAUUAUCUGUUAUAGGUUAAACAGCAUUUUCUAAUUGAUUGCAAACUUUACCAAAAUGUUUUAAGAAGCCUUUUCUAGGAGAUAUAGAAGAUAAUGAUGCUCUUGAAUUUGCUUUGAUAUACUGGUGGUACAGUCAUUAAAUUAAAAUUUAGCUGACAACUUGUAUGACAUAUUUACCCAACUGAUUCUGAAAAUUUGAUACACAUUAUACUUUUUAAUUUAACUGGAGGGAAUAGUAUGUGAUUGGCCGUUUUCUGUAUCUGCCAACUUGCGGAUGACCUUGGCACAAAUCAGCAUUUGCAAUUACAUGAAUCGGAAUAUGAUGUCUGCUCAAAUAAUUGCUGCUGUUCAUGCAUAUAGUGCUGCUUUCCUUUUUAAUUGCAGUUUUAAACAUGUAUGCUUGCAAUAUUGUUUCACCACAAAGCAUCCUAUCAAAGUACAAUAUUUGGCCAAUGCAAAGUCUUCAUUCGAAGUGUGUGCCACUCAAAUAUGGGCAUCUGAUCAGACUAAUCAACUCAUUGUUCUUAGACCUGACUUUACAUUUCCACUUCUAUUAACAUCUUAAAUUGGUAAAAUUCAAUCCUCUGGAAAUGGCUUUCCUUCUCUCCACUAGUAUUAUUUACAUUGCCUUAUUACUUUAAUCUAGUAUCAUCCAAACUAUUGUGUUAUUAUUGUAUUGUCAUUUGUGAUUUUCUAUCUUACAGUUGUAGUACGUGGAUACUAUAUUGUAUGAUGUGAUAGUGUAUUUGCUUGUGCUCGGCUCUAUUGUUCUUGAAGCCCUUGGUUGGGCUCCACUGUUAUAUUGUGUUGCAAUAAGGUUUUGUUGGAAGAUGUUGUGUAAGUGUGAUUGUGUGCUGGAAGAAUCUUUUGUAUUUCAGCCAUGUUGUGCAUCUUGAGCGGGCAUGUUCUCCAUGAGGAUUAUUCCAAGCUUCUUAGGCCUUCUAAAAUGAUUGGCUUCACCUGCAAGGAGAUAAGGACUAAAAUGAUUGGCUUCAACUGCAAGGAGAUAAGGAUUGGCUUCAACUGCAAGGAGUUAAGGACUAAAAUGAUUGGCUUCAACUGCAAGGAGAUAAGGACCGAUCCCCAAUUUCCAAGUUGAGGUUUGAGGAUCACCUGUUUCCAAUUUUCUGGGAAAUUGCUCUUUUCAAGGUACAUGUCAGAUUUGUACAUCCAACUUUAAAUAGUAAAAGUUUUUCAGUGGACUACGGUCCCGUGGUUUUUCCCCUUGAUAAAAAGGGGUUUUCCACGUAAAUUUUGUUGUCUUUGUUGAGUUUAUUUGUUUCACAAGAUUGAUUUUGCCUCGUGUUUCAUCACCUCUUUAGAUAAGAAGUUACAUGUUCGUGUUUUUUAUUUCAAUCAGCCCUCUAUGUUUUUAACCUUCAUUGCUUUGGGCACGCAACAUUUGAGGUGAAAAAUUGAGGCCUCCUUCUCUUUUCACUGCA
rnacentral:sRNA from 1 species